GGCCUUUUAUUUAUAUAAGGUCUAGCCUGCCCACUGAUGAUUUGAAGGGCCGUGGUAUAUUGACCAUGCGAAGGUAGCAUAAUCAUUUGCCCUUUAAUUAAGGGCUCGUAUGAAGGGAAUGACGAGGGAUCUUCUGUCUCUAUUCUUUUAUUGAAAUUAAUUCUUAAGUGAAAAAGCUUAGAUUUUCUUGAAGGACGAUAAGACCCUAUGGAUCUUUAUAAGUUUUCUUUUAAUUUCUGGUUGUAAAUAAUUAAUACAUUUUCUUAUUUUAUUGGGGCGAUACUGAGACUACUUAUCACUCAGGCUAUUUAAAUAAUUACAAUUAAAUUUAAGAUCCUUUAGUGAAAUUGAAUUAAGUUACCCUAGGGAUAACAGCGUUAUAUUCUUUGAGAGUUCAUAUCGACAAGGAUGAUUACGACCUCGAUGUUGGUUCAGGGUUCCUGUAAGGUGUAGCAGCUUUAAAAGGUGGUCUGUUCGACCAUUAAAUCCCU
rnacentral:rRNA from 1 species